GGAAGGCAUUCGUAUCCGGUGGUAGGGCUGGACUUCAAAUCCAGUUGGGGGUGUCAGACACUCCCGGGUCAGUUCGACUCUGGCUGCCUUCCGCCA
rnacentral:tRNA from 1 species